rnacentral:rRNA from 1 species
GAGGGUUUAACUGUCUCUUACUUUUAAUCAGUGAAAUUGACCUUCCCGUGAAGAGGCGGGAAUUUAACAAUAAGACGAGAAGACCCUAUGGAGCUUAAAUUAAUAUGCUCAACAAAAUUUAAAUUCAACCCAACAGGAAUAACCAUAGUUUAACUGAGCAACAAAUUUUGGUUGGGGUGACCUCGGAGUAUAACAAAACCUCCGAGUGAUUUUAACUAAGACAUACUUGUCAAGGUUACAUAACUUAUUGAUCCAAUCAUAUUGAUCAACGAAACAAGUUACCCUAGGGAUAACAGCGCAAUCCUAUUUGAGAGUUCAUAUCGACAAUAGGGUUUACGACCUCGAUGUUGGAUCAGGACAUCCAAAUGGUGCAGCAGCUAUUAAAGGUUCGUUU